GACGUAGGGGGCAAGCGUUGUUCGGAAUUAUUGGGCGUAAAGCGCUCGUAGGCGGGACUGGAAGUCCGUGUUGAAAGACCUCGGCUCAACUGAGGGACCGGCUCGGAUACUCUAGUUCUUGAGGCAAUCAGAGGGUGAUGGAAUUCCCGGUGUAGCAGUGAAAUGCGUAGAUAUCAAGUGGAACACCAGUGGCGAAGGCGAGUCUCUGGACAUUUCCUGACGCUGAGGCACGAAAGCCAGGGGAGCAAACGGG
rnacentral:rRNA from 1 species